GAUGAACGCUGGCGGCGUGCCUAAUACAUGCAAGUCGAGCGAACGGACGAGAAGCUUGCUUCUCUGAUGUUAGCGGCGGACGGGUGAGUAACACGUGGAUAACCUACCUAUAAGACUGGGAUAACUUCGGGAAACCGGAGCUAAUACCGGAUAAUAUUUUGAACCGCAUGGUUCAAUAGUGAAAGACGGUCUUGCUGUCACUUAUAGAUGGAUCCGCGCUGCAUUAGCUAGUUGGUAAGGUAACGGCUUACCAAGGCAACGAUGCGUAGCCGACCUGAGAGGGUGAUAGGCCACACUGGAACUGAGACACGGUCCAGACUCCUACGGGAGGCAGCAGUAGGGAAUCUUCCGCAAUGGGCGAAAGCCUGACGGAGCAACGCCGCGUGAGUGAUGAAGGUCUUCGGAUCGUAAAACUCUGUUAUUAGGGAAGAACAUAUGUGUAAGUAACUGUGCACAUCUUGACGGUACCUAAUCAGAAAGCCACGGCUAACUACGUG
rnacentral:rRNA from 1 species